UCCCCAAGUAUUUGGGUGGUCAUAAUCCCGGACGAGCCCCGAACUGGAAUAUCCCCCCCCAGAGUGGGGGACCCUCACUCAAGUCUUGGGAUAAGCCAGUGUCCCAAUAAUUCAAGAGAGACC
rnacentral:pre_miRNA from 11 species